GAUGAACGCUGGCGGCAUGCCUAACACAUGCAAGUCGAUCGGUAAGGCUCUUCGGAGCACACGAGAGGCGGACGGCUGAGUAACGCGUAGGAACACACCCUGCAGUGAGGGAUAAGACACCGAAAGGUGUUCUAAUACCGCAUACGGUCUUCGGAUUAAAGCAUUUAUGCGCUGAAGGAGUGGCCUGCGUCAUAUUAGAUAGUUGGUGAGGUAAUGGCUUACCAAGUCGAUGAUGUGUAGCUGGUCUGAGAGGAUGAUCAGCCAGACUGGAACUGAGACACGGUCCAGACUCCUACGGGAGGCAGCAGUGAGGAAUAUUUCACAAUGAGCGAAAGCUUGAUGGAGCAAUGCCGCGAGAGAAGAUUAUGACGGUAACUUAUGAAUAAGGGACGGCUAACUACGUGCCAGCAGCCGCGGUCAUACGUAGGUCCCGAGCGUUAUCCGGAGUGACUGGGCGUAAAGAGUUGCGUAGGCGGUCAAGUUAGCGAGCGAUGAAAACUAUCGGCUCAACCGAUAGCUUGUUGUUCGAACUGCUUGACUCGAGAGUAUCAGAGGUCGCUGGAAUUCCUAGUGUAGCAGUGAAAUGCGUAGAUAUUAGGAAGAACACCGAUGGCGUAGGCAGGCGACUGGGAUAUUUCUGACGCUAAGGCACGAAAGCGUGGGUAGCGAACCGGAUUAGAUACCCGGGUAGUCCACGCCGUAAACGAUGGAUGCUAAUUGUUUGAGGUAUCGACCCCUCGAGUAAUAAAGCUAACGCGUUAAGCAUCCCGCCUGUGGAGUACGGCCGCAAGGCUAAAACAUAAAGGAAUUGACGGGGACCCGCACAAGCGGUGGAGGAUGUUCUUUAAUUCGAAGUUAAGCGAAGAACCUUACCAGGGCUUGACAUCCCUAGAACUUUUUCGAAAGAAAAAGGUGCCUUCGGGAGCUAGGUGACAGAUCCUGCAUGGCCGUCGUCAGCUCGUGUC
rnacentral:rRNA from 1 species